AAUACGACACAAGGAAUCAUGAAUCAGAAACUUCAUUGUCUUCUUCUAUUUGUCACAAUUAUUUUGUUGUCAGGAUGUUUCGUAGCACCGGUAUUUGGUGUGUCAGGACCGUGCAAACAAUUACCUAGGAAGGUGCUUUGUGGCAGUGAUAAAUACAAAAUAAUGUGCAAGCUCAAGUGUUAAUAGAAGAAUGAGACGGAAACUCCUAGUGAACGAUGCAGCCAUCACGAAAAUGAAGAUUUUAACUUUAGAUAUUAACUGUUGUUCAAAAACAAUGGAAUAUGAGUAAAAUAAAAAACA